rnacentral:ncRNA from 17 species
AGCUGAUGCAUAUGGCGGCCCCUCCUCCCAGUGCCGCCGCAGCAGCUGUUCCCCUCUGGAGGUUUAUUGACCUUCACACUUCAUGGGCCGCGGUCUCCGCUGGCCCAUCUUU